rnacentral:rRNA from 1 species
AGAGUUUGAUCAUGGCUCAGGACGAACGCUGGCGGCACGCUUAACACAUGCAAGUCGAACGAGAGAAGAGGAGCUUGCUUUUCUGAUCUAGUGGCGGACGGGUGAGUAACACGUGAGCAAUCUGCCUUUCAGAGGGGGAUACCGAUUGGAAACGAUCGUUAAUACCGCAUAACAUAAUUGAACCGCAUGAUUUGAUUAUCAAAGAUUUAUCGCUGAAAGAUGAGCUCGCGUCUGAUUAGCUAGUUGGUAAGGUAACGGCUUACCAAGGCGACGAUCAGUAGCCGGACUGAGAGGUUGAUCGGCCACAUUGGGACUGAGACACGGCCCAGACUCCUACGGGAGGCAGCAGUGGGGAAUAUUGCACAAUGGAGGAAACUCUGAUGCAGCGAUGCCGCGUGAGGGAAGAAGGUUUUAGGAUUGUAAACCUCUGUCUUCAGGGACGAAAAAAGACGGUACCUGAGGAGGAAGCUCCGGCUAACUACGUGCCAGCAGCCGCGGUAAUACGUAGGGAGCGAGCGUUGUCCGGAAUUACUGGGUGUAAAGGGAGCGUAGGCGGGAUCGCAAGUCAGAUGUGAAAACUAUGGGCUUAACCCAUAAACUGCAUUUGAAACUGUGGUUCUUGAGUGAAAUAGAGGUAAGCGGAAUUCCUAGUGUAGCGGUGAAAUGCGUAGAUAUUAGGAGGAACAUCAGUGGCGAAGGCGGCUUACUGGGCUUUAACUGACGCUGAGGCUCGAAAGCGUGGGGAGCAAACAGGAUUAGAUACCCUGGUAGUCCACGCCGUAAACGAUGAUUACUAGGUGUGGGGGGACUGACCCCUUCCGUGCCGCAGCAAACGCAAUAAGUAAUCCACCUGGGGAGUACGACCGCAAGGUUGAAACUCAAAGGAAUUGACGGGGGCCCGCACAAGCAGUGGAGUAUGUGGAUUAAUUCGAAGCAACGCGAAGAACCUUACCAGGUCCUGACAUCGUAUGCAUAGCUCAGAGAUGAGUGAAAUCUCUUCGGAGACAUAUAGACAGGUGGUGCAUGGUUGUCGUCAACUUGUGUCGUGAGAUGUUGGGUUAAGUCCCGCAACGAGCGCAACCCUUCUGUUAGUUGCUACGCAAGAGCACUCUAGCAGGACCGCCGUUGACAAAACGGAGGAAGGUGGGGAUGACGUCAAAUCAUCAUGCCCCUUAUGACCUGGGCCUCACACGUACUACAAUGGCUGUCAACAGAGGGAAGCAAAGCCGCGAGGUGGAGCGAACCCCUAAAAGCAGUCUUAGUUCGGAUUGUAGGCUGCAACCCGCCUACAUGAAGUCGGAAUUGCUAGUAAUCGCAGAUCAGCAUGCUGCGGUGAAUACGUUCCCGGGCCUUGUACACACCGCCCGUCACACCAUGGGAGUCGGUAACACCCGAAGCCUGUAGUCUAACCGCAAGGAGGACGCAGUCGAAGGUGGGAUUGAUGACUGGGGUGAAGUCGUAACAAGGUA